rnacentral:lncRNA from 1 species
AUCAAAUAGCAAUAUAGAAAAUCAAUUAAAACUAGGUUAAACUAAAACCAUAAAUCCCAACUCAAAAAAUUAGCCCAUGUUAAAUAAAUGACAACAAAGGAGAAUAUUAAUACAUGACAUUGCAAAUUUGGCAAAAUAAUUGAGCAAAAUACAAAGUAUAGAUAAAACUCUUUUUUGAAGCAUGAACUUGAUUCUCCAAGAGCUUUGUCAAAUCCUUGAUGUAAUCUCCUUGUUGCUCUAUAUUGAAUCUCCAAAAUACCAAGCUAAACAAAAGAAAAGAAAUUGAAAGAAAAAAAAGAAGCAAAAUCA